rnacentral:tRNA from 1 species
GCCUGGGUGGCUCAGUCGGUUAAGCGUCUGACUUCAACUCAGGUCAUGAUCUCGCGGUCCGUGGGUUCCAGCCCCACGUCAGGCU